GGUGUUAGCCCAGUGGUUGUGUGGUGGUGUGGUAGACCAGUAGGUCCUGGGUUCGAUUCCCAGGGCAUCC
rnacentral:tRNA from 1 species